UACGUAGGUGGCAAGCGUUGUCCGGAUUUAUUGGGUUUAAAGGGUGCGUAGGCGUUCUAUUAAGUCAGUGCUGAAAUAUCCCGGCUUAACCGGGAGGGUGGCAUUGAUACUGAUGGACUUGAGUAAAGUUGAGGUUGGCGGAAUUGACGGUGUAGCGGUGAAAUGCUUAGAUAUCGUCAAGAACACCUAUUGCGAAGGCAGCUAACGAAGCUUAAACUGACGCUGAGGCACGAAAGUGUGGGGAUCAAACAGG
rnacentral:rRNA from 1 species